rnacentral:rRNA from 1 species
UACGAGGGGGCAAGCGUUGUUCGGAAUUAUUGGGCGUAAAGGGUGCGUAGGCGGUCUGACAAGUCUGAUGUGAAAUCUAUGGGCUCAACCCAUAGUCUGCAUCGGAAACUGUCGGGCUUGAGUAUGGGAGAGGUGAGUGGAAUUUCCGGUGUAGCGGUAGAAACUGCGUAGAUAUCGGAAGGAACACCUGUGGCGAAAGCGGCUCACUGGACCAUUACUAGACGCUGAGGCACGAAAGCUAGGGGAGCAACAGG